GACUCGUUAGUCGAAUAGACGUUAAGUUGCAGCCUUAAAGAUGCAUAAUAAAUUAUUGCACGGGUUU
rnacentral:tRNA from 1 species